GGUUUACACAAUAUCACAUAUAUGAACUAGACCUAAUUAAAACCCACUAACAAAGUUUUUAAACAAACAACUGAAGCAGAUACAAAGGGAAAUUUAUAACUGUUCAUUUUAACUGUCUUUUUAUUUUGGAUUCAAAUCAAGACAAGAUGGAUGUCAAACAGAUCAUAUCAAUUGUUCUGAUUGUCCUGAUAGGACAUUUCUUCAUGCAGAUACCGGACAAAUAAUGGCAGGCUGUGCGAUUUAUUGGAGAGAGAGAGAACCUCCAGGAAGCCUGUGCUCCAGUUGGAGCCAGAUGAGCUGAUGGCAGCAUCAUUCCAGAAGUACCAGAGUCCGGCUCUACAGAAGUCCCAGCUUCCAAUGUGGCCCUGCCAGCUCCUGCAGCUUACUGCUUGGCUCAGCCUUUUGUUUUUACUUUUACUUUAUUGUGAGAGAUGCAUCUGUUUACCACAGGUGCAUUCGAUCAGCUCUGAGCCCUCAGAGUUUGCAUCAUCAAAAUUAACGAUACCACCUAGUUGUUUCAUUGUUACUCUGUGCAGGUCAUUUUUUGUUCCAUCACUAAGACACUUUCUAAAACAGAGCAGCAAACAAGCCAAAAGUAAACAGAAGGAGAGAAGGCCUUUCCACGUCAGUCCACGCCAUCAGAUACAGACGUCCAGCCCACUCAGGAUGCAUCACAAGUCUCUGCAGCUCUCUGGCUCCAGAUGGGACAAAUGAUCCACACUAUGACUUUUGAAGGAAAAUAAAGGAAUAAUAAAUGUUGCAGGUAGUUAAUGUAAAAUAUAAAAUUAACUAUAAAAGAUGCCUCAGUUUGGUUGACUGUACUAUUAUGUCACAUACGUCAGAGACACUGGAACAAUACAGCAACACCUCAAAAUAUAGAUGUUUUUAAGACAGACAACAUGAUAUUAGCUUUCAAAUGUCUAGUAGCCAAGACUAAUGUUAGUACUUACAGUUUAGGCUGUGUGUAGCAGACAUGGAGGUAUCAUGAACUCAAGAACCGAUCACUGAAAGAAAUAAACAUCAAUAUAUAAAUUAAUAUAAAAGUACCUUCAUCUCUCAGCAGUUAUAUUCAAGACAAUAAUCUCGCACAGCCCUGUCAACAGCAGCAAUGUUACUAAAAAUUGUGGUGAGGGUAAUUACCAAAAUACAUAACGUAAUCCGUUAAUACUCUUAACUAGAGCGGCAAUAACAGCCAUGGCUAACGUUUUACAGCUAUAUAGCUACCUUCAAAUAUAACUAAGGAAUGUACCGCUAGCUAAUUUAGUUCAUGACAACAUAUAAUCAAGUGACAUCCAAAUAAACGACUCGUAACUAACGUUAUAGUUAUGUAUAAGGAUUAAUUUUUGCUUCAAAUUGUUUGAGAUAUAACAUUAUUAAUAAUUGAUUCAUAGUAACUGUUAACAUCUCAACGAAAUAGUGUUGCAAAUUAUAUUUUAAAAUUUGUUGAAGAAUAUUAAACCUUGUGUAGUAUAAUGUCAAUAACAGAGAAAUAAAUGUUUAGUUUCAGGUACCUCGAGUGUAACCAUUCAGCCACCGGGGGUUUAGCUGAGAAGCUACUGCUGCUAAAGCAGAGCAGCAUAUGGCAUUAGCUCCUUAGCCUGAGCUUACUCGGCCAUGUUGAGCUUGGCGGGUGUGGUUUCAGCAACGCGUCACCUUAACUCCAUGCACGACCUGCCUCUUUGCACCAUUUUUGGUUAUCCGGGAGUGAUGCGCUGGCCAGAUGGCGACGGCCAACUCUGCCCACUUUGGGCUUCAAAACAUGGGCGAGUUCAGCGCCAACAAAACAUAGCAAAAUGUUUUUUUCAAUGGAAAUGGUGGUGCCUCUAACACCCUGUUGUGUAUGCAAGAGCACUGUAUAUUCCUUCCUUUUUACACCGUUGCAUUUACAAACUUUUCGCAACUGAUUGGGUAACACCUGUGACACGCCCACCAAAGACUAAAAAACUCAGAGCCCCUUGUGUGGAUGUUGCAUGGAAACAUGUUGUUCAAUCCGAAAACAUUGCAAACCGUUGCAAAACGUUUUGAGAUUGAACUCGCCCCCAGUACCCACCGCAGUGUGUAUAAAGUUCUGCAGCCAAACAUAUGAAAAGCCAAGACAAUAAUCAUGGUUAAUAAUAAGUGUGAUCAGCAUAUGCCAUCCUCCAGACAUCAUCACCACCUAAAUUGGGAGAUCAAACCUAACCAAGUAUUUGGGAAUGUUCCCCUCAAAAACUAUGUAUCAAACAGAGAUUGUUUUCCUUCAUUCUAGUUAAUUGAUGGGGUAUAUUUAAGUAGAAAUGUAAGGGCAUAUGUUUUAUUUGAACAGGGAAGGGGACAGUUUUUAAGAGGGGACCUGGGGGAACUCCCCAUGAAAAUGCUGAGCUUUAAACACCUAGGGCCGGAUUUGUUAACAUCGCGAAUAAAGAGUACUAAAUUGGGUGCAAACAGAAUGUAGGUGUCAGUAUUUAAAUGAGGGUUUUGUGUGUGUUUUAAUGGUUACUGCCAUGGAGAGUCGGGAGGGAAAGCAGCCACUGAGUAAAAACCUGUGUUUCAGUCAGUGUGUAUGUGGAAAUCAUAUGUACCUGCCCAUCCUGCCUAAGAUUGCACUAAGUACUUGGGACAGCAAACCUGAAAAACUGCUUUGGGAAACCCCAAACAGAAACAGAUACAGUAUGCUGGAAUGAACCAGACGAGAGGAAAUGCCAGUAGAUCGUGCUUCAUCUAGCCAGAGGGAACAAUCACCGACCGUCCGCACCGUGCACGGUCACUCCGGGAUCUCCUGUCCCUGUACACCCCAACGCCCCAUUCCCUCUCCGAUACCGACAAGGGGUUGUGUCGCUAUUAUGACCAGCGCACUGUGAUCAGUUGAUGAUCGUUCCCUCUGGCUUGAUGAGUUUUAUGCCUGAUCCAUGCAGCUGGGGGCUCUCUGCUGCGCCACGCAACUUUCUAAAUUCUUCCAUCUCACGGAGAGAAGAAGUCAGG